UAGCAUUAUAUAUAUAUAUAUAUAUAUAGAGAGAGAGAGAGAGAGAGAGAGAGAGAGAGAGAGAGAGAGAGAGAGAGAGAGAGAGUUGGACUGGGCUACUAUUAGUAGCAAAAUUCCAUUAUUGCUACCAGUUUUUUUGCCUUUGAAUCAACUCUUUUCAUUAUUUCCAACCAUUGGAUUAAAUACUAUAACCCAGUGGGGACCACUCAACCCU
rnacentral:lncRNA from 1 species